AUUGAACGCUGGCGGCAUGCUUUACACAUGCAAGUCGAACGGUAACAGGCCUUCGGGCGCUGACGAGUGGCGAACGGGUGAGUAAUGCAUCGGAACGUGCCCAGUCGUGGGGGAUAACGCAGCGAAAGCUGUGCUAAUACCGCAUACGAUCUGCGGAUGAAAGCGGGGGACCGUUCGGGCCUCGCGCGAUUGGAGCGGCCGAUGUCAGAUUAGGUAGUUGGUAGGGUAAAGGCUCACCAAGCCAACGAUCUGUAGCUGGUCUGAGAGGACGACCAGCCACACUGGAACUGAGACACGGUCCAGACUCCUACGGGAGGCAGCAGUGGGGAAUUUUGGACAAUGGACGCAAGUCUGAUCCAGCCAUUCCGCGUGCAGGAUGAAGGCCCUCGGGUUGUAAACUGCUUUGUACGGAACGAAAAGGACUCUGGUUAAUACCUGGGGCUCAUGACGGUACCGUAAGAAUAAGCACCGGCUAACUACGUGCCAGCAGCCG
rnacentral:rRNA from 1 species